rfam:Canis lupus familiaris chromosome 5, whole genome shotgun sequence.
ACCUGGUGGGCUCAGUCAGUAGAGCACAUGACUCUUGAUCUUGCAGUUUUGAGUUCCAGCCUCACGUUGGGUG